UACGGGGGGAGCAAGCGUUGUUCGGAUUUACUGGGCGUAAAGGGCGCGUAGGCGGCCAGCACAAGUCAGUUGUGAAAUCUCCGAGCUUAACUCGGAAAGGUCAACUGAUACUGUGCGGCUAGAGUGCGGAAGGGGCAACUGGAAUUCUUGGUGUAGCGGUGAAAUGCGUAGAUAUCAAGAGGAACACCUGCGGCGAAGGCGGGUAGCUGGGCCGACACUGACGCUGAUGCGCGAAAGCCAGGGGAGCGAACGGG
rnacentral:rRNA from 1 species